CAGACCUUUGAAUGACCAAGGAAGUCUACAAAGUAACGUAACUACCUCUAUAGAGAAGAGCAUGGAUUCAGAAGAUCCAAAACAUGAAGCUGCUUGCUGUUUGCUUAAUCUCUCUUCUAUGCCUACUUUAACGACUGAAACGUAUAGUGAGAAAGAAAAACCAAAAGAUGUCUUAACAAUUCCACUCCAGGAAUCUUUACAUAUUCAGCUAACAGAACCUUCUGUUGAUGAAGAUCAUGCUUCCCAGUAUUUAACUGUACAAGAUGAUGCUGUUCCUGCUGACAGUUUGUUGCUAAGACCACCAUUAUCACAUAGGUCUCGAUCAUCCUCAGUUCACAUUCCUUUAUCACCAGGUAAAAAGGUAACUGCAAUGGCCCUGGCUGAAAAUCAAACUGCUAGCCGGGACAUUUCUUUACCAAGGGAGUCAGUUGCAAGUCGUCGUUAUUCCUUCUCUGUUAUCAGAGAUUUGAAGCAAAACAAGGAUUUAUCACAAAACGAGGAUUUAAGCCAUAGUUCGAAUAGUGAACAAAUUAUUUCCAAAAGUGAAGAUCAGGAUCACUGCUUGGUUUUUCCAGCCAUGUCCUUAUCUGUUCCUUCAAACAGUGAGGAUGAAACAUCUAUGUCAGGGAUAGACCAACCAAUGGAUCUUAGUGUUACACGAGACAUGAAGGUUGAUCCAAACGUUUCUGCAGACAGUCAUCCUGAGGAACUAGUAGAACCAAUAGAUAGCUUGCUUGGGGCUUGUCUUCAGUAUGGUAGCCUGACUGCUCUGAAGACUGGAGGCUUGCCCUUGAUGUUAAAUACAUCUGGAUUAAAACGAAGAUCACAGUCUCCAUGGGAACUUCAGCAACAGACUGGUUCUAGACAGUCAGUAGAUGACAGUGUACUACAUUUAUCUCCAGUGACAUCUCCAUCACCAGAUCAUAUACCCUCAAAGAGUAUCCUCCAUGAUGACCAGUAUCCAAUUUCUUCUAGACCUCAGGCUGAAUUUAUUGUUGCUAAGUCAGGGUGUGGACAGAACCUGGAUGAUGGGAAGUGUGUAUGUGACAUUUGUAAUAAAACGUUCACCAAACCCAGUCAGCUACGGUUGCAUCUAAAUAUUCACUACUUUGAAAGGCCUUUCCGCUGUGACAGCUGUGUGGUCUCAUUUCGCACCAAAGGGCAUCUACAGAAACACAAGCGUUCUGUGAGCCACUACAACAAAGUUAAUAUGAACCAAACAUUUGGAACCCCAACUGCAGAUAAUCCUCGCCCAUUUAAGUGUAGUGAUUGUAAAAUAGCCUUUCGAAUUCAUGGACACUUAGCCAAACAUCUUCGAUCUAAAAUGCAUAUUAUGAAGUUAGAGUGUUUAGGAAGACUCCCUUUUGGAAUGUAUGCAGAGAUGGAACGGUCUGGGACAAAUCUGAAUGAGAUAGAUACAACUGACUGUGACAGUUCCCUUGAGAGCCUGCAGCUUAUUGCUCAAAGGCUUUACCGCCAAGAGCCUAGGCAAGUUGUAUGGCAGGGGGAUAAUGUUAUUGGAGGUGCCGAGUCCCCUGAUCAUUCUCUAAGCUCCCCAGAGUCUAUUGCUUUGUCAUUAAGCCAAAAUAAACUGGCAGCCACAAAGACUGUUAAUUUUCAAGUAAAACAGGAACUGGACAAUGUUAUUGAAAAUCCAGGUCAUUCACACCAAGACAACAGCAAUUCUCUCUCAGUGGACAUAGAUAAAGAAGUGAAUCAUUGUUCAGGGCAGAAUGUAAAACCUCAACCUUUGUCCUGCCCACUUUGUGGUCAGUCUUUUGUGAGUGCCAAAGCCUUAAGAGUACACACAUAUUCUCAUCAUGCCCAGUGGUCAACAGAUGAGGCCACCAACUUUACUGAAAUAGAACUUGCAUUACCAGAUCCUUGUGGUGAAACUCCUCAAACACUUCAGAAGUUUGCCAGUGUACAAGAUAACGUAAAAAAACAUUUUAAUUUGUGAUGCAUACAGUGAUGAAUGUGCCAGUCUCCAACAGCAGGCAGCUGUUUUUUUUGCCAAGCUUGUGGGAAAGUGUGUGUGUAGCAGCUGAAGAGCUAGAGGGACAUGUCAAGACACAUCACAGAGACAGAACCCAGUCUGAAGAUUUUCAUGUGCUCAAGUGAUGUUCUGUGUUUUAACCGGUGAACUUAGAUUAUUGUACAUAGAUGUUGUCCAUGAGAUGUGGUUGAUGUAUGAGUGUUAAUGUAGCAGAAAUCUUUUAUAUACAACAAAAACUUGGUUACAUUAUCUUACUGGUAGUGGUGUCUCCUUCUCAGGUAAAAUACACCUGGGGGUUUUGUUGUUUUUUUUUUACCAGAUUAUUGUAAACUACAUUUCUCUAUAUAAUAGAAGUGCCAUUACAGGAAAUAUAUAUGUUUGUAUUUUUGUAGAGACAAGUAGAUAUCUCUGAUAAGUGUUUAUGAAUAGUAAAGUAAUAUUUUUGUUUUUGUUGAAUCUGUUAGAAAACUCCAUAACUUGUUGAUUCAUGGUGUUGUGGCCAUCAUCUUACAGUUAGUACAUUGUAGCUAUUUUAAAGAUUUAUAUGAGGGUUGGAUAUUGUUGGUUGUUAAUUGUCAUUGAAGAUCAGUUGUUACUUCAUCAUUCAGAUGGUUCAAAACCUACAACACAUUUUUUUGUUUUAUUAUGUUUUGUGCUUUUUAUUUGUGCAUUUAAAAUGCUUCUUUGUGGUUAAGUAAAAUCAUAACAUUUUGUUCUCAUGAUCAUUGUGUCAAUAGCACAUUUUUUACAGUUUAAAAGUGAACUUUUUUAAGUACAUUCAGAUCCUCAUCUCAAACAAUUACCGGUAUACACCCUGUUAAUUGUUCCAGAUAGUAUGAUCAUUCUUAUUUUCACAUCUAGCAAAAUACUUAACAGUUUAAUAAAAAAACAUUUGUUAAUCAUUUAAAACCAAGGAAGAUUCAUAAGUUUUCUGUAUGAAGAUAAUUUGUACUACUUUUGAACCCUACACGUACAUUAAGUAGGUCCAAUUAACUUGUUUGCAGUUUUAUCAGUAUGUUGAAAUCUUUUGUAAAACUGAACUGGUUUGGUGAAAGGUCAAGCCCAGUUACGGACAAGAAAAAUUAUGUAUUUACUGUUUCAAGUGAAAGGAAACCUUCUCUGUAUAUCAAAUAGUGUAAUACAGUACCAUAAGUCUUAGUAAAAUAUCUAAAACAUUAGGUCGCUCAUAACUGCAACAAAAAAUUGUGAAAAGCAUUUCAAUACUCGUUAAAACUUAUGAAACUUAAACAAAAAAUAAAAUCAAAGCGAUGUAGUUACAGUAGUGUAGUGGCAGAAACUGAACUCAUCAUCUCUGUUAACUAAGAAGUAUGAGACAUAAUUUUGAACUCGGACAGAGAACAACUACAUAUAAUUGAGAAUAUAAAGAGUCUAGAAAAAAUCUUGCAGCUAUUUACAAAAGCCUUUCUUCAAUGGCAUCUUGUAAGAAAGACUGUCACUGAUAAUUUGAACCGUUUCUGUCUUUCAGUUUUUCCUUUAAAGUGUGAUAUGCUUUUUUCUUUUCCUUCUCAGUUACAUAAAUUUUACGAGGAUUGCUUUCCUUGCCUCAUAAUUCUGUAUACACAUCAGUUGAAAAGCAUGCGAGAACGUGGGCUGAAUGUGGCCCAGUGGUUAUCAUGCCACAUUGUGGAGCUGAGGUUCAUGUCCCAUUACCACCAAAAUACAAAGAAUUGUGCUCUAUACUUUUGGUCCAUGAAUGUAUAAUCAGAUUAAUGGUCAAAUCCCACUAUUCAAUCUGAAAAUAGCAACCCCAGAAUUGACAUUGGGUGGGGCUGACUAGCUGCCUUUCCUUUAGUCUGUUACUUCAAAAUUCAGGACGGAUGGUCUUCACAUAUCUUUAUGCAAAAUCAAACAAACAAUCAAGAAACAUAAGUUGAGCAAAUGGGAGAAUAGCUGAGAAAGAUAUUGCUUUUCUAGUGUGAGGGAUGGUGGGAAAUGUUUAUGAUGUUACCCUAUCAUACAUAUGUCUGGGGUUACAGGUAGAUGUCGGGUGCUGGAGAAUGACCUAUGUGUACAGGAGUUGUGUAACAAUGUGGUUGUUUUCUUUUGUAGUUGUUGUUUUUACCUACAUAUACAGCUGUGAUGUAACAAUAUUGUUGUUCUUCUGGAUUUUGUGACCUACAUGCAUGGGUGUGACAUAACAAUAUCGUGGUUCUCCUGGUUUUCGUGACCUACAUGUAUAGGUGUGAUAUAAAAAUAUCGUGGUUCUCCUGGUUUUCGUGAUCUACAUGUAUAGGUGUGAUAUAAAAAUAUCGUGGUUCUCCUGGUUUUCGUGACCUACAUGUAUAGGUGUGAUAUAACAAUAUCGUUGUUCUCGUGACCUACAUGUAUCGGUGUAUUAUAACAAUGUUGUUGUUCUCUUGGUUUUCGUGAUCUACACGUAUAGGUGUAAUAUAACAAUAUCGUCGUUUCCUGGUUUUCGUGACCUACAUGUAUAGGUGUGAUAUAAAAAAUAUCGUUGUUUUUUUUUGGUAAAAGCUUAACUUUCAUUUGGCUUACUUUGUCCUCAUUAAUCUAGUAGGUGUUCCUAUGAAGCCUUCACUCUAUUUGUUUAUUUGUUAUUGAAUUUUGUGCAAAGCAACUCAAGACCAUCAGCUCUAUCCCUCACUAAUUUUGAAGUGAUAGAUUAGAGGGGAAAGCAUCUACUGAACAGUACCAACUCUUGGGAUACUCUUUGCCAAUGAAAAUUGGGAUUGAUCAUCCCAAUAUAAUGCUCCCAUGCUGAAAAGGUGAGAAUGUUUGGUGAUGGGUUUUAAUCGCACAACCCACAGAUUGGGAGUUGAACUCCAUAACCAGUGAAGUAUUGCUCAAAAAAUAUUUCAUAACUUGUAUUAAUGAAAGGUAGAAGUAUAUAAAAAAGGACAGUUUGUUAAGUUUAUUUAAAAAAGCAAGUCUUACAUUCUGUUUUCACUAGUUUAUACAUAUAUAUGUGCAGUUGACAGGCAUAUAUUUUAAGUUUAUAUGAAUAAUGCAGUAGGAAAAUUCUAUACUUUAAAUUAAAUGACAAAUUAAUAUUUUCACAUUGUACUCUUAGUUUCUUUUUCUAUGCUUGCUUAUACAGUUAUGCAAAAUAACCAAGUUUAUUUAAAAUCUUUAAAAUCCCAGGAAGUUUAACGUUUGUAUUUCUUGUCUGAAAUUAACUUUUAAGUAGCAAACUGCUGAAUAGAAAUUGCUUAUCUUUAUUUGUUAUAAAAGAAAUAUUAAAGUUGUUGUUAUAGUUUUAUUUAAUUAUUCCUCAGAGUUGCCAAAAUCAGAAUAUUUCCAAUCAAUAAUUUAAAUUUUUUACCACUUAGAAGUUUAUUAGUUGCUCUUAUUUAUGGUUACGUGUUUGUCUCCGAUUAAUGAAAGAAUUGAGAUGGUUGCUUAAACAAUUGUGAGAAUGCUUAUGAAAUAGCCCUGUUUAUGAAUUAUGUGCAUUACCAUUUUUUAGUUUUUUGAUAAUCUAUAUUUAAACAAUGAAUUUAAUCAAGAAUAGAAUGCACAGUGAGGCUAUAUAACCUCACUGAUCACUUUCGUCAAUGGUUCAGAGGUUAACUUGAAGGCUUAUGAUACAAAGAAUUGGUGUUCAAUCUUUCCAGUGGGCAUAGCAUAGACAGCCCAUUGUGCAGCUUUAGAAUAAAAGAAACGAAUCUCCUAAAAGAAUUCAACUGCUGAAUGUUUCUACUGAUUCUAAAACUACCUGUCCUCACUCUCACGUUUCAUUCUUCUUUUUAAAAUGUUUAGUGCAUCACAUUUUGUUGCACUUGUUUAUAAAAUAAAAGUCACUGAGUUAAUCUUUUUUUUCUUGAACUACUUGGAAAGUUAUUGGUGUGAAUUAUAUUAACUUAUUUAAACACGAGUUAAUAUUUUGACAGAAUAUUACAAUUAUAGUUGUUAAACAAACGUAGGAUUUGAAAUGAUCUUGAAAAAAUAGUUACAGAAGAAGUUAAAGUUAUAUUGGUUAUUUUUAGAUAAAUGUUUUAUUAGUCAAAUGGGAAUUAUUUUUUUCCCCUGACAUUGUGUUAAAUCUAAGAAUAACUCGGCGUGAAUAAUCUUUUUCUCAUUUUUAAUCAGUUAUGGAAUUAUUCAAAUAUAGUGGAUCAUGACAUUAUUACUUGAACAUUGAAAGACAAAUGUUUUUUUCGGCAUGGAUUAAAAUUAUAAAAAAGUGUUUUAAGAUUUAAUCUGUCCCUUCCUCAGAUUUUGCUAGAUUUACGUUUUAUUCUUUAUUUUUAAUUACAGACACGUGUCAUUCCCUGAAACUACGCAGUUGUGUUCUAAUAUGUUUCAUUGAGGGUUUUAAGUUACUAGCCUAAAAAUGUUAUUAACAUUGAAAUUAAUUAAAGACGUACAUUGUGGAUAUAAAGUUAUUUACAUAGUGUUGUGUUUAGAUAUUAUUUCAGUCUCAACACCCGGAAGUCAUGAAAACUAGUUUGAAACAAUAUAAAAUGUUUGUUCUUGUUUAUAAAAUCUCAAACGUAUUUUCAAUUUAUUAGAUAAUUUAGUCCAAGAUGGACGGCUAUAUAUUACUAAUGUUGUUUAUAUUCGGAAUGCAGCAUUGAAUUAAAAAAAAAUUGAAAUAACACUACGAUAAUGUUAGCAAAUUCAUUUGAGCGUUGUCAUCUAUACUGCUGACGUCAUCAUCACCAUAUGCGUUUGGAAUAAACAAAGACCGUCUUUUGGUAUGUUAAUAUAUCAUCUAACUUCCAUAGAACAUUAGACACAUACAAUCACAUCAGAUUACGUUAAAGUUGUUUGGGCUACAUUCGGUCUCUUACC
rnacentral:misc_RNA from 1 species